AGCUGGGAAGGUUUAACUCUCCAUGGCUUUUGGCAAAAGAUGUGGGACAGAUUGUUAGAACCAUUCACUACGUCCAUGCCUGAGACAAAGGUGAAAGGAUGCAGGAAUCUGUAGUACAUUGCACAGAGAUGGAGACCUGAGACAGAAACUUCUGAACUUCCAUCUGGAAAGAUCAAAUGCGUGAGCCUUCAGAGCUCCGCAGCAGACAGGCCCGAGCUGAAGAGAGAGGAGAGAGAGAUGCUGGCCUGACAGCUCUGCGGGGCCUCUUCACUGACCCUGAGAGACUUACUCAACAGUGCAGCAGGAGCCUGCUGACUCACACUGGGUAAAGUUGACUUAAAAAGACCCCAUCUGGCCUGGUAGUGGUGGUGCACGCCUUUAAUCCCAGCACUUGGGAGGCAGAGGCAGGUGGAUUUCUGAGUUUGAGGCUAGCCUGGUCUACAGAGUGAGUUCCAGGACAGCCAGGGUUACACAGAGAAACCCUGUCUCGGAAAACCAAAACCAAAAAACAACAACAACAAAAAGACCUCAUCUGGAUCAGUCCUCUUCCUAUUUCAAGUGUACAGACAUUGUUUUCAAUUCUCUACCAGUGGUCAACAGUUUAGUUAUCUGGAGUCUUGUUUUGCUCCAAGCCCCUGUGAUUUUUGUCCUACACCUGUGUUCUGUUCGGUAGCCAUCACUUCAGAGAAAAUUGUACAGAACCAAAUAGGAAUGGCAGGCUAUUUAUGGGGUAGUAAGGGAAUAGAAUUCAUGGGACACCCGUAAGUAUAAACUGUGUUAAAGAUGAAUGUGAGUUUAAGCCACCAAAUCUGCCAACUAAAACAAAAUCCUUGAUCCCCGUGAGUUCGUCAUGCCUGCCCAAUGAAUGAACACAUUUCAGUCUUUUGCCAUCAGAAUAUAGACACCACUUGCUGGAGCUAUGCAGACUGAUGGAGAAAACUUGGCUAGAGCUUAGAGGACCUGACAGCCAUCAAACCAGGCUUCCUCCCAAGGUCAGGGCAUGUGACCUCAGACCCAGCCUGGUAGCUGGAGCAGCAUCCUCCAAACCCAGCUCUUGCUUGUCCAGCAGCAGUGAAGUUGCAAAAGGGAGCUUCCAAAAGUGGAAACAUUUUCAAAUAAGUCUUUUAACUUUUCGCCUGUGGAUACAGCUGCGUUGACACAAAGCCACGUUUGAGGCAUGAUGUCUCAGAAGCCUGGCACCGCGGAGUGUUUUUCUACUGGGACCCAUAAUUGUUGGCUUUUAAGAGUGGUCCUGUGUUCGGUUUUAUCAAUGUGGUACUUGAACUGGACUUUCAGCUGACCUCCAAAAGGAAAUAGUUUUAAAAGGAAGAAUUUUAAGUCUGCCAAAAGCCAGAUAAUGGCACAGCACAGAAAAAAAGCCAGCGUUCUGUGGUUUUUAUAUUAAAAUACGAGUCUCUUAAUGCCUCAAAACAGCGGCCAGAAAAUGCGAAGUUUAAUACAUGAGGCUCUAAGAAGCCGUUUUAAUGAGCUUUAGUUUUCGCUUUGUUCUUUGUGAUUCCCCCAGAAGGGGCAAGCAUCUUCCUCCUGGUCCUCCUCCGCCAUCUAUUUUUGCUUUUAUACAAAUGGCUGUUUUCAUUAAAGCAAUUUCAAAAUAUACUGAAAACAGCCAUGCCCAACUCCAGGCCUCGUACUUUGAGGAGUUUUCAGCUGCAGGCUCUGCAAAAUAUCUUGAGGAGCAAAGCCACCAGUAUCCGGCUCGUCCAGCAUCGUGAGUUACUGGUCCCAUGAAGACUCCUCACUUCCCCUUGCUUUAGCUGAGCCACAUUCCUGCACUUUGGUUUUGCUAGGUGACGGUGUUUUCACCUUUUCAUGAGGGGCCAUGUGAGAAGCCAACACCUAUAGACAAGGUGCCGCGAUUAGAUUGGGCUACUUAGCAUUUCCACUUCCUCACUAGGUACUUUGAAAUAUCCCAGCCUGAAAGUGGAAUCUGUGGUGGAGCAUGUGCUUAGCAUGCACAGAACUCUGGCUGCAAGAGCUAGUACAAGAAAGGAAAGAAGGGGAGGGGGCGCGGUUUCCCAUAGCCCUAGGGAACAUUGAAAUAAACUCUGCCUUUGUGACUAUGU
ensembl:processed_transcript BC039771 cDNA sequence BC039771